rnacentral:rRNA from 1 species
ACGAACGCUGGCGGCGUGCUUAACACAUGCAAGUCGAACGAAGAGCGAUGGAAGCUUGCUUCUAUCAAUCUUAGUGGCGAACGGGUGAGUAACGCGUAAUCAACCUGCCCUUCAGAGGGGGACAACAGUUGGAAACGACUGCUAAUACCGCAUACGAUCCAAUCUCGGCAUCGGGACUGGAUGAAAGGUGGCCUCUAUUUAUAAGCUAUCACUGAAGGAGGGGAUUGCGUCUGAUUAGCUAGUUGGAGGGGUAACGGCCCACCAAGGCGAUGAUCAGUAGCCGGUCUGAGAGGAUGAACGGCCACAUUGGGACUGAGACACGGCCCAGACUCCUACGGGAGGCAGCAGUGGGGAAUCUUCCGCAAUGGACGAAAGUCUGACGGAGCAACGCCGCGUGAGUGAUGACGGCCUUUGGGUUGUAAAGCUCUGUUAAUCGGGACGAAUGGUUCUUGUGCGAAUAGUGCGAGGAUUUGACGGUACCGGAAUAGAAAGCCACGGCUAACUACGUG